GAGCUGGGAAGGUUUGCGACUGAGCCAACGCACAGCGGGAGUGUUGCAUUGCUGCGGUGCAGAGCCUCGCGUGGUGCCCAGCAGUGCACCUCAUGUCAGCGAAUAGAGGGGGAAGAUGGUGCAGCUCCUUGGGGGAUGAAGCUGCCUGGGGGUGAGUUUGUGUAGGGAAAGGGGGAAAUGCAAAAGUGCAGGUGUUGCUUGGAGUUGGAGCCUCUUUAUCCAGGGUCAGGAGGUUAAUGGAAGCACAGCGCCUCGAGCGAGGCGGUCUUACCAAGAGAAAAAGGAAAAAAAAAGGAAAUUAAAUAUUUACCGGGUGAGAGAAAUGCCAAUUGGCAGAUUAAACACGCAGCCCCUUUGUUAUCAUUCCAGUAAUUCCAGGACAAAAAAAAAGUCAGAGCCGAAUGGGGAACCGAAGCGAUGGUGCAAACCUCACACCUGUGCAAAGCAGGAGGGGACGUGUGCUGCCUGCAGCUCCGCAGGGAACAGCAGCCCUGAGAGCACUGCCAUUGGUUUUCCACAUCCUUUUCCAGCUCAGGAGCCGCUGGAUGUACCGAGGAUGUCAUGCUUGCAGUGAUGGGGUAUGAGCUGCUGUAGGAGCUCUGUGCCUCGGAUCCCUGCAGCCGGGAUGGUUUGCACCGAGUCACAGCUGGCUCCUGUAUGCGCAGUGAGAAACGGUUUUCCCCAGCCCUGAUAACGUUACUGUGCAAUGGGAGCCACCCAAGGUAUGGCCAAUGGCGACGGUCUCAUCUCACUGCAGGACUGAGUUUUGAAGAGUGACAUAGAAAAAACACUCCCGUUCCCAGUUUUGAUGGAGCUGGUGGGCAGAACGAGUCUUUCUCCCUUGAGAGCAGUAUAGCCUGAGCCCUAAGGGGCAGAGACCGCUUGGAGGUACAAUGGACUGACGUUCGUGUGGCUCGUGCCCUCUCUGUUGAGGAUGCAAACAGAGUGCUGGCUUGCAGACUUCAAAAGACAGAUGUUGUCCUGCUAACACUUCAGCUGUCUGUGUCAGUGAGGCGCAGGAGUGACACUGCGACCCUCAGUGACAGAGGGCUUCAUCCGACACCCCAUUGCACUCCAUGGCUUUUGUACGUACUGCUUUCCCCUGGGACACGCUGUGUUUUUACAGCCAGCUGAAUGGCAGCUGAUAUAAUCAGGAGCACUGCGAGCAACAAUUCCUCAGGGCUGUAACUCACAUGGGCUGCCGUGUUUGUUCUUCCCAGGGAGAGAAGCCCUUAACAAAGGCAUGGACCAUUCCGUAUGUAUUGCUCAAUAGGAUAACUUCUGCUCUCAGUUUACAAGCCUGAAAACAAAGUAUACAUGAUACCAUCAAACUGCUUCAUUCCAAAGCCUGCUGCUCCUUCAAACGUCAAGGCUGUAACCUUCAGACACUACACUGAGCUCUGAACCUUUGCAUUCCUGGGGAUGCUGUUUAGACCUCGCUGUGCUUUAGGGCAGUGGGUGAGCUCAUACCGCGGUCCUGAGAGAAGCCCAGCAGAGGAGGAAUGAUGCCACGUGGUGUUCUGCAUGCUGCUGAAAGCUGCAUUCCCUUCGUAGCCUGUUUCUGAACCUUAAAUGUGCUCAGCUCGUGUUUGCAAGUGCCUCAUGCUUGAAGUCUCAGGGACUGGCCUUCUUUAAUUAAAUGAAGACGUACUCUUAACCACCUGAUUGCAGGUGUGAGAUCUUUAAGAAAAAUGGCAGAGAUUUGCAAAUAAACCAGGAGAGUCAGAAAGGGAAAGCAACCAAGGAUCUCAGUGCCUGUGAGCUGGUGAUGAAGCACCGCCAGAGGCCUUCCCCUUGCUCCUGCUUUGACCCCCUUCUCAGCGAGCUGCUCAACCUCUCAGGAGUAAAUCUGCCAACCUUACUCUUCCUGCAGGACAAGUGGCCAUUUCAGCACGGGCCAACAACAAUGAGCUGUGCUUUCAGGGUCAGAAAAAUGUGAUGCUCCUCAUAAAACAUGCUGAGUCCCAUCCCAGCUGCCUUCUGUCCGGGUGGAAUGCAAGAGGAGCCGUCCCAGAAGCAUCAGGCCGUGGCAUUGGGAUCCAUCUUCACCAAGCCUUGAAGACAUCGGGGGUGGGGAUGGAGCUGAUGCCCGAGAGGAGCUUCACGUUGGAGGAAAGAGGCAACAAACGGUGCAGAAGAUCACCUGCCCCAACCAGGGAGGUGUAAGGCCCCAUCCCUGGCAAUCCCACCUGUGCUUGGCUGUGGUGUGGUGGUGUUUUAUGACGUAUGCAACCCAAAAGUCGGAACCGGCACAGAUUCUCCUUCCGAUCCCCACAGUGCUGCUUUGCAAACUGACCCCCAGCGUGACCUGACCAGGAACCAGAGCUGGAGCUGCGUUUAGUUUCCUGUCCUUCAUGUGGAUGCAAAAUCAGUUUGUAAAGCUUGCAGCCUCUCUUAAGCACGAGGGCCAAAGGAAGGUGUACCCCAUCUCCUUGUCUAAACGGGGUUCAAUGCUCGCAGAGUGGGAUCCAUGUUUCCGGCCUAAGCCAUUCUGUGAUUCAUCCCAAGGUCCAUGGGCGUCUCUGGAGGUAGGUGACACAGCUCCAUCCAUGCUUUGAUGAUGAGAACAGGCUGAUAAGUGCUGCUUUCAGUUAGGAAAAUGGAGACAGGCUUGAAAGGCCUUCUACAAAACCAGCGGCCAGCAAAGAAGAGGGGGAAAUUUUGCCCAUGAAUUAUUAACUUGAUUAUUAUAGAAGUAAUUAAGCCCUGAUAGGUGCUCCCAAGGGAAACAGCACAGCCAAAGGCCGAAUAAGAUGGGGAAAAAAAGCCUGUUCAAAAGCACGGUCUGGAACUGAGCCAGAUGCCAACCUAUGGGGGAACGUGGAUAGGAACCCCCCCCCCAAAAAAAACAUCUCCAAUUAUUUUUCCUUAGACUUCCUGAUGGUUCCCCUAAACCAGGCAGGGUCGGUCUCCUCAGUGGCAAACUGGGGUGGGAUCUGCAGGUGGGCUGGGGCUUUCCCAGGUGUUCCAAGGAGGCCACAGAAAAAUAAGUGCUGAAUGACGCAGUGGGAACUUCUGUGCAGAUUCACAUCUUGCCAUGGUCCUGUUGUUCUCUGCAGCUCUCUGCCCACUCCUCUGCAGCUGAACACUGCGGGUUUCGGGGUGAGGAUGCUGCGGAGCUGCUGAGUCCUGUUUCUUGAUGAAACUCCGGGGCCAAACGUGCUCAGAGGGAGCUCUCAGUGUGAAUGGUUUCCAGAUGGGACCACGCAGAGGUGGUUUGACUUUCCCUGUGAGACGAUUUGGGCUCAAGUUUUUGCCUUGGUAACAGGGGCAGGGCUCAGGAUCAGAAGGAACCAGCCCAAGGCAGCCCCACGGUGUGGUUUUUGGCACAAGGUCUGAUCUGCAGGUGGCAGAAUAUCUACCACCGGCUCAAAGCUGUUGGUUUGAAAGCUGUGGCAAGCUUGGGCAGAAGAGGUGGUGGAGCCUCUGGUUUGCUCUGCUGAGUCUGGGCCCAUGGCUUGGUUGGAUACAGCCAUCUGAGCCGUUGGUAGCUGUGUUUGGGUGGUACUUGCACCAUGUGAGCUCAAAGCACCAUGCCUUUCUAGGACCUGCCAUCCAGGCAAAUGAGAGGCUCUCAGAAAGUGAGUUUCAUCUGAAAUCCGUGUCAACAGUUAGGCAAAUUUUGAGUGAGAGCAGCUUUACAAAUGGCGAGUAUUGGUCAUAAGAAGUAUCGCUGUUUUCACAUUACACAAAGCCUUCCUCGUUCAUCUGCAGAGCUUCAGUUUUGCUUCAGUGAGGGGAAAGAGAGGUCGUUAACAGCAUGUUCCUAUAAUGCUGUUGCAGGAGACUCAGAAAAGGGACCCAAGCCCUCACUGUAGCCUGCUGCUGGCUGUUAUGCAGGACCACUGUGCUGGGACUCCAAUGGAAGGAGCUCUUCUGCUGCACUGCCUUCGUAGCUGCAGAAAC